UUUUAAAAAGUAUUUUAAAUAAGCUGCCCAUUUUGCAAUGUGUGUAGAUGUAGUUAGGGCAGAGGAGGAGGUGGAUAGCAAGGCUUUUGAGAUGCCUAAGGCCCUCAAAUAUAAUUUUGCAAUUGAUGUGGAGACCGUGGAACUUGGCCCAGGGAGAGCCUGUUUCUCAAGGAAGUGGGCCGCCAAUAUCUUCCAAGUUUCAGGUGCUGAAAGAAGGUCUGAAGCCAGAUUGAAAUGGGGUAAAAUUAUUGGCUUUCUAAAUUCUCCCCAAGCCAUAACGCUCACCAGGCCUCCUCUGCACCAGACUAGAGUUUGUCCUUGAAAUGUGGCAAUGCUUCUUGCUUUCCUCUUUAGUUUUUUGGGGGGCUGGCAGGGGAUAGGCAGUUUGUAGCAUACUGUUGCUCCACCCACUAAUGCCUCUUGCACCACACCACAGACAUGCGUCCCAUGGAAAGUUGACCCUCAGACCGAAAACGUUUCCCUGCCUCUGUUCUAAAGUUUUGCCAACAUUGCGUGGGUUUGCGUAGCUUGAGCUUUCGUUGCCUUGAUUUGUGCGGGAGGCUCUUCGAGCCUGCAUCAAGUUUUAAAUGUUGUUCCACACCAACCUAAUCUCCAUGAGCAGUGUGAGAUGCCAAGGGCACUUACCAGGGUCUGUGUUCCCUUGGGGGGCAAUUAAGACACAUUAGAGCAGUGUUUCCCAAACCUUGGGGCUCCAGCUGUUUUCGGACUACAACUCCCAUAAUCCCUAGCUAGCAGGACCAGUGGUCAGGGAUGAUGGGAAGUGUGGUCCGAAAACAGCUGGAGUCUCAAGGUUGGGAAACACUGCAUUAGAGACUGUGGUGUCUUUAUGAGAUAUGAUUUAUUUACACACAUACACAACCUGCACCUAGACGGAGGGGAUGCAGAGCGUUCGGUUGGGUUCAGAUUCACCCAUCUCCUGUCUCUGUCACAGUCUUUACCAACCAUCCAUUGUGUCGGCUGCCCUUCAAUUCCUGUAUGGAGUUCUGCCCACUUCCUUUUCCUUCCCAGCAGCACUUGCUGAAAACAGCAACUCCCUGUCUGCUUCCAACAUCCCAACCUGGUCACCCUGGCGACCCCUCUUUCCCAAGCCCAUUGCAGAGGACAUUUCCCUCCACUGUUCACAUCAAAUACUGCCCAAAUUUGGAGACCCAAAACUGGGAUGCACAUCUUAUGGGGCAUACGCUCUGGCAAGUCAUGUGGCCCUCACUCUCUUCCCUGCGCCCCAAAACUUGGCCCUGAAGAAAGCUGUUUUUCAGGGGGUGAGCCCAGUGAGAGAUUGUGGCACCCAAAAUGGCCGGCACGAUGUCCCGCUUUUUCCGGGACACUUGGCAGAUAUGACAUCAGUAGCCCUUCCCCAAAAGCUACUCGGCCAGAGGGUCUUCUGCUUCGCCCAUGGCUUACCAUUAUCCAACAAACCAGGCCAUUCUCAGCUUUUUGUUUCUUCAGUGACCCAGUGAGCCAUUGCCAGCCCGACCUCAUGAGGGAGAUUGCCACUAUUAUUUCCUAGCCUUUGUAAAUUUAUAAGUUUGUCCAAUUUCUAACCCUUCACUGAAUAUAGUGGUUAUGUAGUGGUCGGCCCUUCACAACUCAUAACAUCAUGAUGCCUGUUGCUUAUCGGAGGAAUGGAAUAAUUUCUGAUAUUAUUUCAUGUCUAUUCCAGCUUCGCCCAACUUGCAUACAUGAUUCUCUGCCUCCCCAGUUUUAUUCUCACAAUGGCCCUGUGAAGGUUAGGCUGAGAAGCACUGUCUGGCCGCAGGUCGCCCAGUGAACUGCAUAGCUGAGGAAGGGGCAGAUGCAAAUGUGAGUUUGAAGCAUCUGUUGUUGCAAGUUCUAAUUCUGUGGCUCUCAAGACUGUCGAUCCUUAGUCCAUUUUUUUUCAAGCAACUGAAAUAACUCUGCCUUUGCUUUUGGGGCAUGUGGAGUGCUCAGAUGCAUAAACCAGGCACAGAGAGUGCAUGUGUGUGGCUCCUGUGUGUGCAGCUUUGAAAAGCAGACCACCCAAAAUUAAGCGUGGGGUGUCAUCUCUGCACGUCUUCCAAAGCCACUUCUGGUUCUUGUUUGAAACCUCUCCAGUUUCAGCUCCUGCACCCUUCCAGGUUUCGUAAUGAGGGCUAGCGUGAGCUGCUAAAUAACAGCUGACAGCCUGCCGUGGCACUCAGGAAACAUAAAAGCUCGAAAAAGACCCAGGUGUGUAGUGGAAGCUUUGCAUCAGAAUUGCCAGCAGAUGCCAGCAUGUCUCUUGCUGGCAAUUUAAAAAAAACAACCACAAAAAGCAUGCAAGUAAACAACAUUUGGCCAUCAUUAUUCUUGUUUAGUUUCUGGUACCUGAUGACAAAUGUGGGAACCCAGCCUUGGAAACUGAGCCGUAAAAGUUAGUAGCGCCCCCCCCCCCCAAAUCCUGCCAACUUGCCCACUGUCUUACUCAUUGGUGGUUCAAAAGCAGAUUGAAGAGCAGGGGCUGCGAAGGAAUGGCACAACACUCCCCCCAUUUUAAGGAAGCUUCUCUGCAUGGUCACUUAGGGGGUGAGGUUGAUUCUUGCUUGCCAGAGCUAACCAAGCAAGUGUUGUUUACAAACCCAUACAGCUUGGAAAGUGAACAGUUAUUGUUAAUGCAGCUCCCCACCCACCCCAUCCCAGCAGCAACUUAGAUUUUCCAAAUCCAAGGAGUGGUUUGACCUCUGUCUCCUUCAUGGACCACCCCCCUCUCGCAGGGAGACAUCUACCUCCUCCCUGUCCCCUCCCUGCUCAUUUUUUUAAUCAGCCAAGGGUGGCAACGGUCCAGAGUGCAAGCGAUCCAACACCGAUUCUCUCCUCACCCCCCACCCCCAAACUGCUUUUAGUUAAGGAAGAAUGUACCCUGUGCUAAACGCACAAAAGGGAACAUACUACUAGAGUUUUCAUCCUCAGAAGAACCCUGUGAGGUAGAUUAGACGUUUUUCUCUCAGGCAAAGAGAUGGGCUUGCCCUGCAGCUCAUGUAGAAACUGCUCUUACCAAACAGGAGCUGCUAGGCACUGUGGAACAGUGCACUGGAGUGAUUUUGCACAUGGGGAUUUGUUUUAAAUAGCAUUUCCUCUCCAAUCUCUCAUCUUUUUUUAACAUCCAUGAUUGAUGUGGAAGUCUGAAAGUUUGACUCCUAUAGAUGUGUAUGUGCGUAUGCAUGAGAACUUCCUUCCUUUCUAUAAACGGUCCCCUUUUGUUGCUGCAGCAGGGUGGUGAGGACUCUCCUACUGUCGUCCCGGUUCCUGACCCUGACAGACUCCCCUGAGCUGCUUGAAUGGAUGUGGAAAAGUGGCUCACGCAGAGUUCUGUGAAACCCGACAAGCCCAACAGCUUCUCCUCUUGUUUCCCUCUCUGCUCUGUGAGGAAGGAAAAACCCAGCAGGCUGUUAGCAAGGCAGCUUGAUGCAUUCGGUAUCUGGAACUGAAGCAACCGAGUGCAAAGAGCUUUUGAGACAGAAUUUGAAAUUAACAACGUUUGGUGAAUAGUUGAGCUUCUGUAUCGGCUACCGUAUUCAGCGAACCUAAUGACAGGCCUCCAUCCGUUCUGGUCUAGCAGGACGCAAUGGUACUUACAGCUUCACACACACACUCCCCAAUUUUCCAUUUGCUCAGGGAAGCAUCUGAGCGUGAGCUCCAUUGUUUUCUUGGCCUCCUGUAGCUUUCUCCAAUGCCUACUCCUUAAAAAAAAAAGGAAGAAAAGCGUUCAGUUACUGGUUGGGCCUGGUUAGCCUUCUGAGUUGGCAAAGUAAUUUUGUCUACGUUGUCAAAACACAAGUGCCAGAUAGGAGUGAAUUGAGGUGUCUUAUCUGGUGUUGCAGCAUUUUACAAGUACACCGCAUCCUUUGCACAAAGUCACAAGCGUAAUUUCUUGCACUGUGGACCCAUGCCUGACC